rnacentral:rRNA from 1 species
UACGUAGGGUGCAAGCGUUGUCCGGAAUUAUUGGGCGUAAGAGCUCGUAGGCGGCUCGUUGCGUCGGCUGUGAAAACCCGCAGCUCAACUGUGGGCUUGCAGCCGAUACGGGCGGGCUGGAGUUCGGUAGGGGAGACUGGAAUUCCUGGUGUAGCGGUGAAAUGCGCAGAUAUCAGGAGGAACACCGGUGGCGAAGGCGGGUCUCUGGGCCGAUACUGACGCUGAGGAGCGAAAGCGUGGGGAGCGAACAGG